ensembl:lncRNA
UCCGUGGUAGCCAACAGCGGCAACAGUGUCGUGUACAAGGUAUGGCUGCAUCUUCAUCAUGCUGUCUUAGAUGCCUUUCCCAUGCCUCCAGGGCAGUGUUUGCAUCCACUUUGUGCCAUCCUGACCCUUUCCAUCAUCUCACCGUCAGCUGCCCUUGUCUGCACAGGGAGGUCGGCUUGUGAGGAAAGCCACUGAUCUUGGCAUCCACGGGCAGGCACAACCACUUGCCAGUGGAUACUGGCCCAACAGCAAAGGAGACUGUCAGACUCAUUGGCCAUAUUGCACCGUUUGAAGGUUUUCUCCCCCUUCCCAAGGGAAGCUGUGGCUAUGUGUGCCUGUCUGGAGUUUGGCUGUGGAAUCUGUUCUCAGUUGUCAACCUGUUCAAGGCAGAUAGCUACUAGAACGGUCCUGCCUCCAGGGUGGAGGGACAGGCAGGAGGCCUCUAAAGGCCAUUUGCUGGGAGUCAGGAGCAGGUGAAGGUUUUGCCUUCGUCUUCUUGGGUUGCCCAGGAGCAAUUGGUGGGCCACUGUGUGACUAGACGGGCCGUGGCCUGAUCCUGCAGAGCUCUCCUUAUAUUCUUAUAAAUCUAGCAGACUGCCUUUCCCCAUAAUCUAGAGAAAGCUUUCAACAUCUCACGGGCUCCUUGUGUUUUGUUUCUCUUAUUGACCUUUCCAGAAUGAGAACUCAGAUGAACAAAAUCCUGGCUGCCAUCUCCUCAGUGAUAUUUUUGAUCACCACAGUUGGAGGAGUCAAGUGCUAUCGCUGCAAAUCAGUUGAAAGAUCCAACAUAUGCAGCACAUUCGAGAGUACCUGUGAAACGCGGGGAUACUGCGGCGUUCUACGGGAAUCCAGAGGUAGUUCUACGAAAUGGGUCUGUAGCCGUGGCGGGUCUGUGGGAACAUAAGACAUUUGUGAAAAAUACUGAUUUCUUUCCUUUCUUUUGCCGCUUGCAGGAGGAACCAUUAUAAGAGUAGCCCGCCUUUGUUUUCAUGUCUGCCGACGAGAUAUGAGUUUAAGAGAGCAGUACACAAACAGUGUCUUUUGUUGCCAAACAGAUUUUUGUAAUGAUUACAGCCCUUGGCAGUAGAUGCUGUGUCGGAUCUCAGCCUGGAUUGACCUGGAGAUGCUCCAUUCCUGUACCUGAGCCGUUCCCUGAGCACAAAGCUUUUAUUACUAUUUGAAAAGCAAUCAAAUAUCUGAUCACAGCACAUAAGGUGGAAUAUUUGCCUGUCAGAAAGAGGCUGCAGGUUGCCUCCUUUUCACGCCUCUGAGCACACCUGGAGGUGCUUGGGAUAGAUUGGGUGGGCUUCAUUGAGGCAGAUCCUUUUUCAAUCCAACGUGCAGUUAGGUUGGGUCAGAGGACCCCCGGGGAAGCCUAUAGGCUGCUGACCCUUUCACAGGCUGCGUAUUUCACUGGGUGUGAAUGGGAUGGCUAAAACUGUGAUAUCCAUUGUGGUUGUUGAAGCAUAGGGUCUGCGUAGCUCACCAUGCCACCUGGCCAGAUUUUAGCUUGCACAUGAUUAUAUCACAGAUUGUCCCAUUCAAAAUUAUGCCUUUCACAAGCUUCCCAGCUCUUCGUCUUCUAGCAUAGAAUAUCAUUGUAGAUAUAGGGUAUAUACAGUUUAUUAAAUCAUCAGAUUAUCGAGAUUGCCCAUCUGAUACUGUAGGUACCAAUGGUGAGUCUGCAUAUAACUAAUAAACACGGAAUUAAUUUUUAAUAAAGAAAUAGA